rnacentral:rRNA from 1 species
CCUACGGGAGGCAGCAGUGAGGAAUAUUGCCCAAUGGACGCAAGUCUGAGGCAGCAACGCCGCGUGGGCGACGAAGGCCUUCGGGUUGUAAAGCCCUUUUCUGGGGGACGAGAAAGGACGGUACCUCAGGAAUAAGUCACGGCUAACUACGUGCCAGCAGCCGCGGUAAUACGUAGGUGGCUAGCGUUAUCCGGAUUCACUGGGCGUAAAGCGCGUGCAGGCGGUUCCGUAAGUCGGACGUGAAAGCUCCUGGCUUAACUGGGAGAGGUCGUUCGAUACUGCGGGGCUUGAGGUCGGGAGAGGGACGUGGAAUUCCCGGUGUAGUGGUGGAAUGCGUAGAUAUCGGGAGGAACACCAGUGGCGAAGGCGGCGUCCUGGCCCGCACCUGACGCUAAGACGCGAAAGCGUGGGUAGCGAACGGGAUUAGAUACCCCGGUAGUCCACGCUGUAAACGGUGGAUACUAGGUGUUGGUGGCUAUCGUCAUCAGUGCCGUAGCUAACGCGUUAAGUAUCCCGCCUGGGGACUACGGCCGCAAGGUUAAAACUUAAAGGAAUUGACGG